UGUGGAGGACAGCUCCCUACAUCUUAAGUGUAAGGAGCACAUGGUGACUUUCUUCCAAAGAGGGAAAAAAGGGGUAACUUUACAGCGGAGAAACACCACCUCAGCCUGGUGAUCAAGGUCGAUAUCAACAGUGGUCCCAGUCUGUCAAGACCAUAACAAGUGGCGCCUAAACAGGGACUGGGAGUACACCCUUGGCAAGCGGAUGGAGUGACUGUGGACCUACUGAGUGGGGCACUAUGCAUGGAAAGUAUAGACAAGGAUAUGCAGCUAUUGGUAAGUCAAAUCACAACUUGGAUGGCCACUUACCUAAAUGACCACCUAGAGCCUUGGAUUCAGGAUAACGGUGGCUGGGACACUUUUGUGGAACUCUACGGAAACAAAACAGCAACUGAGAGCCCAAAGGGCCAAGAGCACUUCAACUGCUGGUCCCUUACGGGCAUCACUGUGACUGGUAUGGUUCUGUUGGGCUUGCUCGUCAACUCAUAGUAACUAUUCCUUUCAUUAUAGUCAUUCAUAUUUUAUAUAAGCUUAUGUUCCUCUUCCUUUUGUUACAGCUAUAGAGAACUUACAAUUUAAUAAGACUCUACCUUUUGUGACUUGUAUAGAUUACAAAUUGUAUACUUGUCUUGAUUCCUCUGUUUCUUUGAAAAAUGAAUCCAUGGAAAGAGGGUCCCAUGGCAGGACUUGCUUCCUGGCUACACACUAAUUACUCUGGUGAUCUAAAUGAUUCAUUGGAUGGUUAAUUCUUGGCAUUUUGUGAUUAAUAGCCAUUUGCACCACUGCUGCUGUCACAGACAUUGCUUUACAAACCUCAGUUCAAACACUAAUUCGAAAUUAGAUCAAAGAUGCUCAUACUAUGUGGACCACUCAGGCUCAGAUAGAUGAGGAAGUUUAAGAUGAAAUACAGAAACUAAAAACAGCCAUCAAAUGGGU